rnacentral:rRNA from 1 species
GACGGAGGGUGCAAGCGUUGUUCGGAAUUACUGGGCGUAAAGCGCGGGCAGGUGGCCCUUAAGUCCUUUGUGAAAUCCCGGAGCUCAACUCCGGAUGUGCAUAGGAUACUGGAAGGCUAGAGACUGGUAGAGGCGAGCGGAAUUCCUGGUGUAGCGGUGGAAUGCGUAGAUAUCAGGAAGAACACCGGUGGCGAAGGCGGCUCGCUGGGCCAGUUCUGACACUCAUCCGCGAAAGCGUGGGGAGCAAACAGG